CCUACGGGGGGCAGCAGUGGGGAAUAUUGCGCAAUGGGCGAAAGCCUGACGCAGCGACGCCGCGUGAGGGAUGAAGGUCUUCGGAUCGUAAACCUCUGUCAGCCGGGAAGCACGGUCACUGUGCUAAUCAGCAGUGAAUUGACGGUACCUGCAAAGGAAGCACCGGCUAACUCCGUGCCAGCAGCCGCGGUAAUACGGAGGGUGCGAGCGGUAAUCGGAAUUACUGGGCGUAAAGCGCUCGUAGGCGGUAUGUCAAGUCAAGGGGGAAAUCCCCGCGCUCAACGUGGGAACUGCCUUUGAAACUGGCAAACUGGAGUGUGUGAGAGGAUAGUGGAAUUCGAGGUGUAGGAGUGAAAUCCGUAGAUAUCUGGAGGAACAUCAGUGGCGAAGGCGACUAUCUGGCACAUAACUGACGCUGAGGAGCGAAAGCGUGGGUAGCAAACAGGAUUAGAUACCCUUGUAGUC
rnacentral:rRNA from 1 species